CAACCAAGGACAAUUCCCUCCAUAAGAGUCAGCCAGCAGUUACAAGAUGCCCUCCUCAUCUAAAAAAACCCACUCGUGAUCGACAUCGAAUGAGAGCACAUCAUCAUAUUCGUCGUCGUCAACAUGUCAGCUGAACUUUGUAGAGGUUGAGAUGGCACAUGAAACGGACAGCCUGUCAUCUAAGUUUCUUGUAGACAGUGAAAUAAACCUUUAAUGAGCAUCA